GUGAGCUGUCAAAGACUGCCUUGCUUCUUCUCCAGAAUAACCAUAGACUUUACAACUGAAAUUACUGGGAAGCUGAUGGGGAUUUGUAAUACAUGUGCUAAGUUAUAAAGGCGUUUGGAGAUCGCCUUCCCUGAGUCCUUCAUCACGAAGCGCUUUGUGUGGCUGCACGGGAGGAUGCACAGUUCCAGCUCUGAGCUCCUGGGCCUUCUGGAGAGGCAUGUGGUGUGGGAAGAUCUGUCCGCGAGUCAGAACUCUCCUGACAGAAAAACGGAGUUAAAAGUUGUUCCUAAGAAAACCUUGUUUCUGCUCAGUUUGCCUCCAUCGGCGUCCAUCAGACCCACGUGUCCCCAGCACCGCACAGCCCUCAGCACUUCUGUGUGCACAGUUUUAUUCACGUCGUUCUCACCCUUCUCGAUCCCCCGCUGCUGACACGUGGAGUUUUAAAACACGGGUGCCUGAAGCGGCACCACGGCUGGCUGCCAGCGACGGCAUGGAGAGGAAAACUUCCCGGUCUCUGCGGUGGCCACAAAGGAUUCACGUUCCUGACACCAGGGCUCCUUCCCAGGAGGGUUGGUUUGUGUCACGCUGCGUUUUUACAGAAGAUGUGACUGGAUGUAAGUCCGCCUCCUCAGGGCCUUUGUAUCAUUUAGCAUCCCACUGGGAUCUGUUUUCCACUCUGCAGGAAGCCCGCCCCAAACUGACUGUAAAUUACCAGGCAGAAGUCUUUGAUUACUCACCAAUUAUCUCUUUUCCUUUCAGCACAUGAAACGCUCUAUAUGAGAUAAUUCCUGGAAAUUCGGUGUAAAUGGUAACAUUUAAAUUAGCAUGCUGGAAAGUUGGUUGCCUGUUACUUACCUUGAACAGAAAAUUUCCCCCGCGAUUCUUUCUGUUCUGUUGUUUUCCAUGUAAACACAAACCCGGUGCGAGUGCUUGAACACACGGCUUACAUUGUGCUUCUGCUGUUACAGUGACAAAAACAUUCUCACUGAGCUUCUUUGGACUUUAUUGAUCACUUCAGUAAGAAGAAAACUCUCAUCAUUGCACAGAGCUUGAGAUGGAGAGAGGGCUCUCAUUUCUUACCUUAAUCUCAGUGAAACAAACUUUUCAGUGCUUUUCUUGUUUUUGUUUUUGUUUUUUUUUCUUGGAAAAUGCUGGGAAGCAAUAAAAUAAUUGAGAUCUACUUCA